rnacentral:rRNA from 1 species
UACGUAGGGCGCGAGCGUUGUCCGGAAUUAUUGGGCGUAAAGAGCUCGUAGGCGGUUUGUCGCGUCUGCCGUGAAAGUCCGGGGCUCAACUCCGGAUCUGCGGUGGGUACGGGCAGACUAGAGUGAUGUAGGGGAGACUGGAAUUCCUGGUGUAGCGGUGAAAUGCGCAGAUAUCAGGAGGAACACCGAUGGCGAAGGCAGGUCUCUGGGCAUUAACUGACGCUGAGGCGCGACAGCGUGGGGAGCAAACAGG